AUCAGCUUGUUGGUGAGGUAAUGGCUCACCAAGGCGUCGACGGGUAGCCGGCCUGAGAGGGUGACCGGCCACACUGGGACUGAGACACGGCCCAGACUCCUACGGGAGGCAGCAGUGGGGAAUAUUGCACAAUGGGCGAAAGCCUGAUGCAGCAACGCCGCGUGAGGGAUGACGGCCUUCGGGUUGUAAACCUCUUUUAGCAGGGAAGAAGCGAGAGUGACGGUACCUGCAGAAAAAGCGCCGGCUAACUACGUGCCAGCAGCCGCGGUAAUACGUAGGGCGCAAGCGUUAUCCGGAAUUAUUGGGCGUAAAGAGCUCGUAGGCGGUCUGUCGCGUCUGCUGUGAAAACUGGAGGCUCAACCUCCAGCUGCAGUGGGUACGGGCAGACUAGAGUGCGGUAGGGGAGAUUGGAAUUCCUGGUGUAGCGGUGGAAUGCGCAGAUAUCAGGAGGAACACCGAUGGCGAAGGCAGAUCUCUGGGCCGUAACUGACGCUGAGGAGCGAAAGGGUGGGGAGCAAACAGGCUUAGAUACCCUGGUAGUCCACCCCGUAAACGUUGGGAACUAGUUGUGGGGUCCUUUCCACGGAUUCCGUGACGCAGCUAACGCAUUAAGUUCCCCGCCUGGGGAGUACGGCCGCAAGGCUAAAACUCAAAGGAAUUGACGGGGACCCGCACAAGCGGCGGAGCAUGCGGAUUAAUUCGAUGCAACGCGAAGAACCUUACCAAGGCUUGACAUACACGAGAACGGGCCAGAAAUGGUCAACUCUUUGGACACUCGUGAACAGGUGGUGCAUGGUUGUCGUCAGCUCGUGUCGUGAGAUGUUGGGUUAAGUCCCGCAACGAGCGCAACCCUCGUUCUAUGUUGCCAGCACGUAAUGGUGGGAACUCAUGGGAUACUGCCGGGGUCAACUCGGAGGAAGGUGGGGAUGACGUCAAAUCAUCAUGCCCCUUAUGUCUUGGGCUUCACGCAUGCUACAAUGGCCGGUACAAAGGGCUGCGAUACCGUAAGGUGGAGCGAAUCCCAAAAAGCCGGUCCCAGUUCGGAUUGAGGUCUGCAACUCGACCUCAUGAAGUCGGAGUCGCUAGUAAUCGCAGAUCAGCAACGCUGCGGUGAAUACGUUCCCGGGUCUUGUACACACCGCCCGU
rnacentral:rRNA from 1 species